CUCUAGCCCUGAUUGUAGUGGAAAUCCUUUACUUUUUUUCUUUAAAAAAGUAAAGAUUGCAACGGAAAGCAGGAAAAUGG
rnacentral:sRNA from 1 species